rnacentral:lncRNA from 1 species
ACAUAUUCAAAUCUUCUCUUAGAAUCAACAUGCACUAUACCCAAAGAAUUACCCUAGAAGUAAACUACAUAUUAAGAAAUAGAAUAAAAGAAAUUUGAAAUCAUAAUUGCAGCUUUAAGCUUCAGAAAUACUCAUCUAUAUGAGGUUGUGGCUGGAAGCUGAGAGCAAGAAAGAAAUACAAAAUAUAAUCCCAGAUCCCUUCAUCAAAGCCUUCAUCAUAUCCAGAUCAACAUAGCUUGAUGAAGACAAUCCCAAAAAUUAAAUAGCACGAAAGAAACUCAAACUUAAAAAUUAAUUUAUACUUGAAGAAGAGAGUGGCAAGAGGGAUCUUACUCUUAAUUACAACCUAUAAACUUACAGAAAACAUCCGCCUAAACCCAUUUAGCGGCGAAGUGGUGGAUUGAUGAGAUUUUUUUGCCCCACCCCUACGACCCACGAUAUUUUUAUUGAUGUGCAACCUUGGAUUGGUUCAUAAAAAACCACCAAAUCGGGAAAGGGAAGCGAGAUGGACCGAAUCUGUGAUUGGUUCAUAAAAAACCACUAGAUAGAA